CUUCCAGCAAGGAAAAAGCCCAGGAAGAAGAUUAAAGCCCUGGAUGAAGACACCAUGGUGGCCCUGGCCCUGUCCUCUUCCCUGCUGGAACAGGAGAAGGAGAAGCAGAGAGAGAUGGAGGCUGAGAGAGGAAUACAAAAACAAACUGCUGCAUCACAAGUCUCCAGGACUCCAAUGCUGAUGUGGAGGCCAGAUGCAGGUAAGGGGCGUGGUAAGAGGAAAAAAGGUGGGGUUUCUCGUCCCCCUCCACUCCUCCUCAUCCAGGAUGCUGAGGCGGCCCUGGCGAGGCUGCAGGAACGUGUUUCUGCCCUCCUCCUACGCAGUCGUGCCCCCUCCCCUCCCACCCCUACACGCUGCCCCAGUACUCUGUCGGGUUGGAGUGGUGCUGCCCCCCUCUGGCAAAAAAGUGCCCUGCUGAAUAAAGGCCCCUCCUGCACGUCUGAUUUCUACACACCAGAGCUGAGGGAGUUCAUUGAGCCUUGGGAAUCAGCAGCGCCAAACAUGCCCUCCUCUGUCAGAAUCGAAAAUCCUGACUCUACUUUUCAGCCUGAGAGUGAACGAACUCCUGUAACUAGACCCAGGGCCUCCAUCCUGCCAUCCUCGGCCCAGAUGGCCUGCUCCUCUACGCCUCCCUCUACUCCAGGGACAGGGCAGCUCCCAGUGAGCAGCCAGGUCCUUCGAGACCUGAUAGAGCUGGCUGAAGACGGCAUGACCUUAACCCAGCAUGACUACACCACCUCAGGCCCUAUAAAAGAUAUUCAGAGCAACUCUGCACACCUUCAUCUGAGUGGAUUUGUUCCAGAGGAUGCAAAGGAGCAGAAUGACCUCUGUGUGAGUGGCUUUUUACUAGAGACAACACAUACACACUCAGAGGGCAUCCACAACUGGGGAGGAAACACAAC
rnacentral:lncRNA from 1 species